rnacentral:lncRNA from 1 species
ACUUCUUUCAUUAUAAAUCUUAAACUUAUAAUACUAACAUUUUUAACCAUUUAUAAUAAAACAUAAUAACCUUUAUACACAUCCUAUGUACAUGCCACAUUACCCAAAGGAAAAUAUAUAUCACCAAAGUUAUGCUGAAGACGGUAUUAGUCUGGAUGCUGAACCGGGACCUUUGACUUCUAUCGACCUGCGCACGGAAACAACCGUACGCUGAGUAUUUCAUACUCAGUGGUAUUACCAUAAUUCAAAUUAUAACAAUAAUAAACAUGUAAUGCAUAAUUCGUAUAUACAAUUUAAAUUCAAUAUCUCAACAACAGCAAUUCAUCAACCAAUAUAAUAUAUCCACAAUUUGAGUUUGAACAAAUCAUGAACCUUAGGUUCAUUUCUCAAUCUCAUUUCACAUUUCAAUUCACAAUUCAACUUUUUCAUGUCAUUUCAAUAGCUCGUUUGACCAACUCGUUCGGUUUAUCAUUUCAUCAUUUACCCUAUUAACAAAACUCGGACUUUGGCGGAUACACGGAUCCAACCAAACACACCAGAAUGGCACCCAGUGCCUCAUCGGAUAGUUCGAAGCAAUAGUUGACACCCAGUGUCUCAUCGGCAAAUCCGAAGAAAGUUGGUACCCAGUACCUCAUCGAAACUAUCCGAAGAAAUAAAGUGACAUCCAGUGUCUCAUCGACUCGAGGUCGAAGCAUCCCUGAACUCUUCCAAUCAUAUGGCAUGCCAACUAUAUCCGACUCAGCCCGACUAGUUAAUAGGGUCUCCAAAUUCACAUUUCAAUUCAAUUUCACUUUUUCACUUUCAAUCACAUUUCGAUUCAAAAUUCACUUUUCCAUUUUCAAGUCAAUAUUCCUUUCAAUACCAAUACAUAUUUCAGAUAUUCACAUAUAAACAUACUUCAAUUCAAUUCAAACAACUUUUCAAUCAAUACACAAUUCACAUAUUCAUACAUAAUCAUAAUUUACUUCACUUUUAUUCAUUUCAUAUUUUAAAUUCAUUUUCCAAUCAAAUUCAAAUCACUAAUUAUUUUUCAAUCAACAAACAAUUUAAUUAUUAAUUUAUAUUAACUAUUCAAUUUAAAUCUCACUCAUAAUAAUAAUAAUAAUAAUAAUAAUAAUACUUAUACUUACCUCACAUUUUAUUUACCAAACAUAUAAAUUAAAUUUAACAUUUAAUAAUAAAUAACUUGAAUUAUAGUAAUACAAACCGUAAAUCUCCCGCUUUAGUCCUCGAUAGCUUUCCCUUUUCCUUUUGAUGCCGAUGCCUCGGGUUCUUUGUUAGCUACAAAAAUAAUAAUAAUUUAUACUAUUAAUUUCAACACUAAUUAUGAUAAAUAAUUAAAUUUCUAUUCAAUUUCUUCAUUAUUCUCAAUUUAAUCCUAACUAAAUUCACUUACUUUCCUAAUUCAAUUCACACUCUAUUUCCAUUCAAAUUUCAUCCAAACUUAAAUUUAACUAUUAAAAUUUCAGCAUAUUUUCCUAAUUUCGAAUUUUCCCCAAUUUAGUCCCUAACACAUAAAACUUAUAGUUUCUUUUAUAAUUUAAUCAUUUUAUCAAUUCUAACUUGAAAUUUAUUCAAUUAAAUCCCUAAUUCAACAAUUUAUUCAACAUGAAUCAUGCUUAAAAAAAAACUAUAAACUUCCAAAAUAUCAACUUAAUUUCAUCAAAACUUUGUUUUAAAACUUCUAAAUCAUAAAAACUAAAUAAAAAGGGCUUAAUUGACUUACCAAAUUAACUCCAAGCUUUAAAAAUCUAUUUUCCCCUUUUUCUUUCUUUUUUUCUUCUUUCUUCCCCUGUUUCAUUUGCUUCUCUGUUUCUUUGUUCUUUCUAUUCUGUUUCUUUUCUUUUGUUUUUAUUUCUUUACUUUCUUUUAUUUACUUUAUU